UUUCUUGUGUGGUGCUUCUUUGCCUGCCCGCGGGCUCCGCCGGCUCUGCGCUCAGCAUCCCCACCCUCACAAUUGUCUCUGCCGCUGGCGUUUCUAGCUAAGCUGCCUCCCAAAGAAGGGUAGGGCUGCCAUCCCGCAUUUCUCAGCCUGUUAAUUUCUUACAGUUCUGUUUCUUAGCCUCAGAAACAAGCUGGUUUCUUCCAGAAACAGUCAAAGAGUGUCGGUUGAGGGAAAUUAAUCAAUGGCCAAGCAGAUUGCUUGUCAUCUUUCAAUAUCUGUAAAAAUAACAGGCCUCUAGAGAAGCUUCCCGGAUCAGAGCCUCCGCCCAGACUUCCAGCCAAGGCCCCAGAGCUCCCAGGACCUGGAGGGUUUUUUUCUCCUGGUUGUGUUUGGAAUUGGCUGGUUUUUCUGGGCAUCAGGCCCAGCUCAGUUUAAUUUUUGUUUAUUUUUAUGUACAGAUUCUCUUCUGUUUGGGGAAGAGCUUUGUGUAA
rnacentral:lncRNA from 1 species